UGGGGAAUAUUGGACAAUGGGCGAAAGCCUGAUCCAGCCACGCCGCGUGAGUGAUGAAGGCCCUCGGGUCGUAAAGCUCUGUGGGGAGGGAAGAAACUGCGGACGGUAAGACCAUCCGUACUGACAUUAACUCCUUAGCAAGCACCGGCUAACUCCGUGCCAGCAGCCGCGGUAAUACGGAGGGUGCAAACGUUGCUCGGAAUCAUUGGGCGUAAAGCGCACGUAGGCGGUCUGAUAAGUCGGAUGUGAAAGCCCUGGGCUCAACCUAGGAAGUGCAUUCGAAACUGUCAGACUAGAGUAUGGGAGAGGGUUGCGGAAUUCCCGGUGUAGAGGUGAAAUUCGUAGAUAUCGGGAGGAACACCAGAGGCGAAGGCGGCAGCCUGGACCAAUACUGACGCUGAGGUGCGAAAGCGUGGGGAGCAAACAGG
rnacentral:rRNA from 1 species